AGAAACUGCAUCUCUGGUUUCCCC
rnacentral:siRNA from 1 species